rnacentral:lncRNA from 1 species
GGAAGGGUCAAAUGAUGAUUUUGCACUUGAAGGAAUCGGGUUGGGAUCCUCAGGUGCUAUUAAGCUGGGGCUAGGAGACUUCAUAUUCUACAGUGUAUUAGUAGCCAGGGCUGCCAUGUACGAUUUAAUGACGGUUUAUGCAUGCUACCUUGCUAUUAUAGCUGGUCUUGGUAUCACUCUGAUGCUUCUUGCAUUUUAUGUUAGUAGCCAGGGCUGCAAUGUACGAUUUCAUGACAGUUUAUGCAUGCUACCUUGCUAUUAUAGCUGGUCUUGGUAUCACUCUGAUGCUUCUUGCAUUUUAUCAGAAAGCUUUGCCUGCUCUUCCUGUGUCCAUUAUGCUAGGCGUCUCGUUUUACUUAUUAACUCGGCUGUUGCUCGAGAUAUUUGUUGU